GACGGAGGGUGCAAACGUUGUUCGGAAUCACUGGGCGUAAAGAGCUCGUAGGCUGUUCGAUAAGUCGGGUGUGAAACCUCCAGGCUCAACCUGGAGACGCCACCCGAUACUGUCAUGACUAGAGUCCGGUAGGGGGAGCGUGGAAUUCCUGGUGUAGCGGUGAAAUGCGCAGAUAUCAGGAGGAACACCAGCGGCGAAGGCGGCGCUCUGGGCCGGUACUGACGCUGAGGAGCGAAAGCGUGGGUAGCAAACAGG
rnacentral:rRNA from 1 species